AGAAGUUGUACACCAAGCUGGGCACUGGGGAUAAGGAUGCAGGGAGCCUGUGUGUGAAACAGGAUUAUCAGGGGGUCAUGAAGAGAGUCAAAGGAUGUCCAUCACUUCCCUUCUGGGUUUCUUGUCCUGGAGAAUCAGAGCAUCACUGGAUCACUGAAGUCUCAGUUGUGACCGGAGGCCAAACUGGAGUUAUUCUGUAGCUUGGCUGUAGGCCUCUCUGCCAUGCCACCCUGCCUUGGAGCCAGCCAAUUAUGGACUGAAACCUCUACAAACUGUUUUAAAAGAGGAAAAAAAGAAAGAGUUGUUCUUCCCAGCUUUACUGAAGUCAGAGGUCUCACUCUUGCUGGCCAAGAACUUCUACUCCAGGUUCUCCCAGAGACUUGAAGAGAUUCCACUUCCAUUCAGCACUGGAGAACAGCUCUGCAGAUAGAUUUGUAAAGGAGAAGGGAGUGUGCCAUCAAAAUGCCUGGCCCUACAUCAAAGCCAGCUACCCCAUCACUGUGGAGGCUGCUGCCCUGUGUCUCCAUCAGGAUAGCAUGGACAGUCCUGGGAGUCAUUUUGAAACCUGAACAUAAAAGGGAAAUUGACAGGUGCAGAAAAGAAGAAAGCUGGGUGAAAACACCUCCAGUCUCGUCUUUGCAGGCAGCCAUAAUGCUAAUAGCAUGCAUUUCUUAGAAACUCAUGUCUCUAAACCUGACAUUAAAGUGACCAUAUAUCCUGGAUUUUCUGAGUCAAGCAAUCUCAAAUAUUGUGUCUACUAAUCUGAAGUUCAAAUGUGUACGUGUGUAUACACAGUAUCUUAUGCACAAAAAAAGAAUAACAAAGGUUUUUCUCCUAACUCCAGUGUCAGAGCACAUCCAGAUGUAUGUUCUGGAGCUGGGCAGGGAGAGAGGCAGACAGGUGAGGCCACCCCCACCCCCAUCCCCACCCACCAGCCGCUUAUAGACCACAGUGUGAAAGGAGGUGCUUCUCCGAUCAUCAAGGAGCCAGGGCAGGG
rnacentral:lncRNA from 1 species